rnacentral:lncRNA from 1 species
AGGGAAGAAGGGGCUCCACCAGCAGCACCCAGCGAGCACCCGGCAUGCCUGGGAUUCGAGUGCAGGCCUGUCUGAUUCUGUAGGGAGGAGAAAAUCUUCUUUCCUCUACCCCUCUAGGUUCUCUGGCUGGGGCUCUGAAAGAGACUGACAAAGGCAGAUUAACGAGAGAAAAACAGACACGAGUUUAUUACCACGUGCAUCACGCACACCCAUGGGAACGUCCGCAGACAAGGCUCAUCCCAGGAGGAUCCAUGAUGCUUUAUGAAGACAGUCCCAACAGCCCAUCUCUGUCAUCCUCCAGACGUGCCAAGGCUGAAUCAUGGAGCAAACACAGCACAGGCUCAAGCUGAGACCCUGCCAUGUGACCUCCUAGUUCUAUGAAAUACCCUUCAACAAUGCAGAAUUGACAAACCCUCCCAGAACCUGAUAUAGAUACACAUAUUUAUUAUAUAAGUGUCUCAGUAAAGAAACAAUUUUCUGUAGUGCUUAGUAGCAGACUUCUGACUCCAUAAGAUGUUUCUAAGUAAAGGUUUCUUGGUCAAGGAAUUUGGAAAAUGCUCAUAGUGUAUAUGAUUCUAGGAGACUUUGGAAACACAUUAGUGCAUUCGGAAGCCCUGCAGUAGUCUGCCGCAUGACUUAUUCCAGCUUAUCCCUACAUUAUGGAAUGCUUUUGUCACUGAAUACCUUCAGAACGCAUUUUGGGAAAACUUUUAUAUAUUCGUGGCAACCCUGGAGAAAAAACUUAGAGGUAAAGUUCCCUCUCCGAGAGGCCAUAAUAAAUGUGAAAGUGUGGAAAAGAGCCCUCAUCCUCCACCUCCAAGGCUGGUGUUCUUGCCAGGAUACCAUCCUAUCAGUUCUUUCUAAAACUCUCCUGUCCCCAGUGCAAAUACUCUCAUCAUGACAAUGCCUCACUUCAGCAGGCCUUCUCAUGGAGCUGCAGGAGUUCUUUGCAAAGUCCCCCAGCCCUGGUCUAGGAAUUGGGAGUUGCCUCACAGAUGCUUUAUUGUUAUUACUGGUUACAUGUGUGAUAUGUAGCAUACAUAUCAACUACACCUUUAACCAAUAACUUUUACUUAUUUUUUAUUUGGAGAAUGAUAUAUGCUCAUUAAAGAAAAAUUGGGGAAAAAGUUGGUAAAUAAUGAAGAAGAAAAAUUCACUUCAACCUAGAAAUAGCCCAGUGAACAUGCUGGUGUCAAGGGUGUACAUACACAUAUACAUGUUUGCAUGUUUUGGGAACAAUUUGAAACAAUAUGCAUGUUUGUUACAGUUUUGGAACUGUAACAAAAAUGCACAGUUAUAGUUAUUUAUCAUGACCUUCCUGUUUUUCUUGCCAUGAUAGGUUGUGAAGAUGUUUACAUAUCAUUAAACACUCUUUGGGAUCAUACUUUUUUUUUUUUUUUUUGAGAUGGAGUCUCGCUCUGUCACCCAGGCUGGAGUGCAGUGGCGCGAUCUCAGCUCGCUGCAAACUCCGCCUCCCGGAUUCACGCCAUUCGCCUGCCUCAGCCUCCUGAGUAGCUGGGACUACAGGUGCCCACCACCACGCCCGGCUAAUUUUUUGUAUUUUUAGUAGAGAUGGGGUUUUGCUGUGUUAGCCAGGAUGGUCUUGAUCUCCUGACCUCGUAAUCCUCCCGCCUCGGCCUCCUAAGGUGCUGGGAUUACAGGCGUGAGCCACCGCGCCCAGCCGGGAUCAUACUUUUAAUGGCUGCACAAUGCUGCCUUGUAUGAACGUGUGAUGUUUCACUCAGCCAUUGGUGGUAGAGUCAAUGCCACAGGUUCUCCAUACCAUUUCCUCUCUCUGAGCACUUGGUAAGCCUUCAUUUCCAAAUCUCCCCUGCAGUUUUGAGUUCUGGACAAUGGUUGUGGACAGAAGUUAUGGAUGCCACUUCUGUGCCUGGAGUAUCUGUCCCCUCAUCAGCAACUGUUGGUGACAGAACCACAGAUUGGGAGCAGCCUGGAUCUAAAGAAUCACUGCUUGGGAGAACUCUGCUUAGACAUGUCCAGACUACAUCAGACAUUAAGUGAGAAAUGAACCUUUGUGUGCUGAGUACCGAAAUUUCGACGUUUACUUGUUACUGCUGGAUUGCUUAGCAUACACUAACAUGUCAUCACUCUAGUUACAUCUUUGGGUUUGUUUUCAAUUUAUAUUUUAAAAAUAGAGCUUCAGUACAC